rnacentral:rRNA from 1 species
AUUGAACGCUGGCGGCAUGCUUUACACAUGCAAGUCGAACGGCAGCGCGGGCUUCGGCCUGGCGGCGAGUGGCGAACGGGUGAGUAAUGCAUCGGAACGUGCCCGGUAGUGGGGGAAAGCCCGCCGAAAGCGGGAUUAAUACCGCAUACGCCCUGAGGGUGAAAGCGGGGACCGAAAGGCCUCCCCCCAUUGGGAGGGCCGAUGUCGGAUUAGCUAGUUGGUGGGGUAAAGGCUUACCAAGGCGACGAUCCGUAGCUGGUCUGAGAGGACGACCAGCCACACUGGGACUGAGACACGGCCCAGACUCCUACGGGAGGCAGCAGUGGGGAAUUUUGGACAAUGGGGGCAACCCUGAUCCAGCCAUGCCGCGUGCGGGAAGAAGGCCUUCGGGUUGUAAACCGCUUUUGUUCGGGAAGAAAUCCUCUGGGCUAAUACCCCGGGGGGAUGACGGUACCGGAAGAAUAAGCACCGGCUAACUACGUG